CGAUUAGCUCAGUUGGGAGAGCACCUGCCUUACAAGCAGGGGGUCACUGGUUCGAACCCGGUAUCGCCCACCA
rnacentral:tRNA from 1 species